rnacentral:rRNA from 1 species
AUGGCGUUUCUAGCUGAAACUCCCGCCAGCCCUCCCCGAGCACGCCGCGCGCCGCGUCUUCCUCCAGCUCGUCUCCGUGAUCAUCUACUGCCACGUGCGCGGUGUCACCCACCACGGCGUCAAGCAGCGGGACGUCCUCCUCGACGUAGACGGCAACCUCAAGGUUUGCGACUUCGGCCUCGCUGCGCUACCGGAGUCCCACCGCGACGACGGCCGCCUGCACACCACCUGUGGGACGCCCGCCUUCGCCGCCCCCGAGGUGCUCCGCCGCAAGGGCUACGAUGGCGUCAAGCCCGACGCCUGCUCCUGCGGCGUCAUCCUCUACGUCCUACUCGCCGGCCGCCUGCCGUUCGACGACUCCAACAUCAUCAAGAUGUGCAGGAAGGCGCACCGCCACGAGUACACGCUCCCCCAGUGGUGUCCCCGCCGACGCGCCGCCUCAUGAGCCGCCUGCUCCACCCCAACCCAGCCACGCGCCUCACCGUCGCCGAGCUCUCGAGCCACCCGACGGUCGCUCAGCCUCGACUCGCAGCUCUGGACGUGUUCUCGUGUGCGUAUCCAGUUCAAAUCUGUAUCAAUCAAUUCAUAUUAGGCAUGGUUGAGUAG